UACGUAGGGUGCGAGCGUUAAUCGGAAUUACUGGGCGUAAAGCGUGCGCAGGCGGUUCGCUGUGUCCGAUGUGAAAGCCCCGGGCUCGACCUGGGAAUGGCAUGGGAAACUGGCGGGCUGGAGUGUGGCAGAGGGGGGUGGAAUUCCGCGUGUAGCAGUGAAAUGCGUAGAGAUGCGGAGGAACACCGAUGGCGAAGGCAGCCCCCUGGGCCAACACUGACGCUCAGGCACGAAAGCGUGGGGAGCAAACAGG
rnacentral:rRNA from 1 species